rnacentral:lncRNA from 1 species
GAAGGGUUUCCUUUGACAUCUCUAAGGGAGAUAAACAUUCUCCUCUCUUUCCACCAUCCCGCAGUUGUAGAUGUUAAAGAAGUAGUUGUAGGGAGCAAACUUGACAACAUUUUCAUGGUAAUGGAAUACAUGGAGCAUGACCUGAAGGCGUUAAUGGAGACAAUGAAACAACGAUUUACCCAAAGUGAAGUCAAAUGCCUUAUGCUCCAGCUUCUGGAGGGUGUCAAGUAUCGAUGGAAUACAUGGAGCAUGACUUGAAGGCGUUAAUGAAGACAAUGAAACAACGAUUUACCCAAAGUGAAGUCAAAUGCCUUAUGCUCCAGCUUUUGGAGGGUGUCAAGUAUCUUCAUGAUAACUGGGUACUUCACCGAGAUCUGAAGACUUCAAAUUUACUUUUAAAUAACCAAGGUGAGUUGAAGAUUUGUGACUUUGGAUUGGCUCGUCAAUACGGGAGCCCCCUGAAAACAUAUACUCAAUUGGUGGUUACUUUGUGGUACAGG